GGGGACUGGGGCAGCUACACAUGCAAGUCGAGCGGUAACAGAUCCAGCUUGCUGGAUGCUGACGAGCGGCGGACGGGUGAGUAAUGCAUAGGAAUCUGCCCGAUAGUGGGGGAUAACCUGGGGAAACCCAGGCUAAUACCGCAUACGUCCUACGGGAGAAAGGGGGCUUCGGCUCCCGCUAUCGGAUGAGCCUAUGUCGGAUUAGCUAGUUGGUGAGGUAACGGCUCACCAAGGCCACGAUCCGUAGCUGGUCUGAGAGGAUGAUCAGCCACAUCGGGACUGAGACACGGCCCGAACUCCUACGGGAGGCAGCAGUGGGGAAUAUUGGACAAUGGGGGGAACCCUGAUCCAGCCAUGCCGCGUGUGUGAAGAAGGCCCUCGGGUUGUAAAGCACUUUCAGCGAGGAAGAACGCCUAGCGGUUAAUACCCGCUAGGAAAGACAUCACUCGCAGAAGAAGCACCGGCUAACUCCGUGCCAGCAGCCGCGGUAAUACGGAGGGUGCAAGCGUUAAUCGGAAUUACUGGGCGUAAAGCGCGCGUAGGUGGCUUGAUAAGCCGGUUGUGAAAGCCCCGGGCUCAACCUGGGAACGGCAUCCGGAACUGUCAAGCUAGAGUGCAGGAGAGGAAGGUAGAAUUCCCGGUGUAGCGGUGAAAUGCGUAGAGAUCGGGAGGAAUACCAGUGGCGAAGGCGGCCUUCUGGACUGACACUGACACUGAGGUGCGAAAGCGUGGGUAGCAAACAGGAUUAGUCCCCU
rnacentral:rRNA from 1 species